rnacentral:rRNA from 1 species
AUUGAACGCUGGCGGCAGGCUUAACACAUGCAAGUCGAGCGGGGACUUCGGUCCUAGCGGCGAACGGGUGAGGAAUGCUUGGGAAUCUGCCCAGUAGCGGGGGAUAACGUUUCGAAAGGAGCGCUAAUACCGCAUACGCUCUACGGGGGAAAGGGGGGGAUCUUCGGACCUCUCACUAUUGGAUGAGCUAAAGUCGGAUUAGCUAGUUGGUGGGGUAAAGGCCUACCAAGGCGACGAUCCGUAGCUGGUCUGAGGGGAUGAUCAGCCACACUGGAACUUAGACACGGUCCAGACUCCUACGGGAGGCAGCAGUGGGGAAUAUUGGACAAUGGGCGAAAGCCUGAUCCAGCCAUGCCGCGUGUGUGAAGAAGGCCUUCGGGUUGUAAAGCACUUUAAGCGAGGAGGAAUGGCUCUGGGUUAAUACCCUUGAGCAGUGACGUUACUCGCAGAAUAAGCACCGGCUAACUACGUGCCAGCAGCCGCCGUAAAAC